CUGGCCGCAUGAUCCGAAUCUCGACCACAGGAUUUCCUCAUCGACAAAGGGUUGGUCCACCAAGGCCAUCCGAAUUUCUCCUUGAGUUUCCGGAUAAGCCGCAGGCUGUUGGGGCGACGUGACGAGCGACGUGUCGGCGUCGGCGCCGACGCUGGCCGACGCCAUGCGUCCAAGAUGGCCGCGGAUCGUUAAAUGGUCACGCGCAAGCUCCCGAAGGGGUGACCAAGUGGGAGCGGGCGGGGUCGAUUUUAGGAGCGCGUGCUGUUACUCCUUAAUCAGAUAGAACCCUCUUUAGGACUAUGAGAUCGACCUUGACUUAUAGGGAAAAAAGAAAAAGGAACAAGAAAAGGAUGAAACAGAGAUCGAAGUUUCGAGGCUAAAUAAAUAUCGAAGUAGUGUGACUAAAGUUUUUUCAUUACGACUAUUUCGAUCUCGAUCGUUCUAACUUUUAACGGCAUUUUUAUUUUACGAGGUUGUAACGAACCAACGAAAAACUAGAAAAAAUGGUGAACAACCAUUUCUCGUUUUCACUACCAUUACGUGCUAGCGUACACGUGGCUAUUACUUUUUCAACUGACUGUCGGUAUUGUUUUAUAUAAUCUCCAUCGUGAAAAUCGUUCGCACACGCUAUGACUUUUUUGAUAGGAGUUGAAUUUUUCAAUUCUUUUUUUGAAUUCCGUACGAAUCGUGAAGUUUUCUAAAUGUAUAUACCAUAUAUAUAUAUAAUAUAUAAUAUAUGUAUACAUAUACAUUUUUUCUACUAUUGUAACAAAUAAGCUGAACCAAAUGUAAUAAAUUUUUACACACAGUUUAUCUACAGUAACAAAAAGUGGCUUUUAAAAGUUUGAUAAAAAUUUCCGAGUAAAACUCAUUUAAUCGUGAGUUUUUUAAUAUUAAAAUAUAGUUAGAGUGACAAUCGUUUCUAACACAUAAAAGUUAAACGAUGUAACGAUUAUGUAAAUUAAGAAAAUAAACGUAAUGUUAAUAUAUGACAAUCGUUUCUGUGACAAAUGAUAAACUAAAGUCGGGAAAAAAUCAUUCUACAUGAGAACUGCAAAAAAAAUGAACUCAGUUUGAAUGGCGUAAAUAAUCAAGCAGGGUUGUGUCUUAUUUUUUCUCAUCCUAUUGGGAAAGUUGUCGAAAGAGGUGGUUGACCUGCUCAAAAAGCAGUAAUUUCCGAACAGAAGGGUAAGCAUUUAUCGAGAGAGCGAAUGAGAAAGAGAGAGAAACGAUCGUCAUACGGCGUCGUGACGUGUUCGCGCUUUUUCGCGCAAAACCGAAACGAAAUGUCAACGGGAACGUCACGCUCAAUUUUUUUUCCCGUUUCCUCGCACGCGCCACUUGCGCGUACACUCGCUCGCAAAUUUUCGAGCAAUCGUCGAGGGAUUUACACAUGUCAAGUUAAGUUAACGUUACACCGCAUUACGUGUUUUGCGAACAAUGCAACGGGUUUCCCUCCUGUUAGGACUACUCCCUUCUUCGCGAGUUCGGUGAAACCGCGAAUUCGAGAAAUAAUAGAAAUAAUAAAAUGAAAGGAGACAAGCAAAGAGAUAUUGAAAGAGAAAAAAAUAAAAUUAAAGAAAUAGAAUAUUACUUCUUUAUCAAGUACGAACAAUACCAUGAAUGUACUUUUUGUUACGUAAUUAUUUAUAAGCGAUUUGGUAAUAAAUUUAAACUUUUUUCCAACAUUAAAUUUAAAAUGCUACUACCAACUCGUGUCGUAUCAGUGAAGUAACAUUUAAACAGCAGUUAAGUUGUUAUUACGGAUUGAAGUUAUGUACAUGUACGGUAAGUAAAGACUAUGUUAAAGACUUCGAAGUUGUGGCGUUUUUCAAUCGUCGAUCGACAAGAGCAGAUUUAUAGUCGCAACUUAGCCCGGCUACCGCGACUUGCAAAGUCAGAAAACUCUUCCAUGUCUGUUAUAUCUAUAUACCUACAUGUAUUAAGCUAAUAUUUAUUCGAAAACCAUAAACCAUUGAAAGUUUUUUUCAAAUUGCGAUUAAUGAUACAACGAAUAUGACGUAGAAAUUUAAUGAUUUUAUGGAAAAUCGAAAAAGAAAAAAUGAGUGGCAGAAACAUCUCGCAAAUGACGUAUCGUUAAGUGAUCGAUAAUGACUUACAAGCAACGUCAUGGAUAGGAAUAGAAGAUCAUUCUGUUUGUCGAUCGAAAGACCGAUGACUACUCGAUAAAAGAUUCUUGAUUGCGGGAUAAAUCUCUGGAAUCUCAGUUGCUGCGACGCCAUAAUGGGAAUUCUUCGUUGAUUACGGAUAGUUAAGUUUAAGAAUCGGUCAUUAUCAAUAGCAGGUGUUGCACAGACUAGUAUAAAGUUUCAAAAUGAAUGAGAUUAUCGUACGUUGAGCGUUUGCGGUAGAUAAUUGCUUAUUGUACGGAAAACGCGUGCGUUAACUUCGAGAAAAAGUUUAUAUAUAUGAUCGAACUUGAACUAUAGAAGCCUAAGUGAUACCUACAAUAUCUUCGUCUAUAUAGACAAUAUUUUUAAUUCAUGAAAUCAGUAAUAACAUAUACGAAAUACUAAAGCACGAUUGUUAAUGCGAGAAUAGUUACUAAUGGCAAAUUAUUUGAGAACAAUUAUUUAAAUUUACUAUCUUUAAAGAUUGCUUUGCACAAAAUCGUGACGUACGUACGAGGAACAAGUUAGGAGGAUUUCCGAUGUCAAUGACAUCAAGUCGACCGUAUGUCGUUCAUUUUCAGGCGGGUUGAUUUCGAUGAACGGGUACUCAGCUUUCGUCCAUCCCACGCCUCCUCCCCUCGUCAUUAAGUUACGUAUACUCGUUGCCUAAUUGCUGCUCUCGCGAAAAUACCGUCAAUUUUCAAGAGCACAUGGUUCCGCGACAUGCUCCUCGACGCAUAAGCGCAUGACCUCCCUACAGGUGGCAUUAUGUAGAGAAA
rnacentral:lncRNA from 1 species